GACGAACGCUGGCGGCGUGCUUAACACAUGCAAGUCGAACGGAAAGGCCCUGCUUUUGUGGGGUGCUCGAGUGGCGAACGGGUGAGUAACACGUGAGUAACCUGCCCUUGACUUUGGGAUAACUUCAGGAAACUGGGGCUAAUACCGGAUAUGAGCUCCUGCUGCAUGGUGGGCGUUGGAAAGUUUCGGCGGUUGGGGAUGGACUCGCGGCUUAUCAGCUUGCUGGUGGGGUAGUGGCUUGCCAAGGCUUUGACGGGUAGCCGGCCUGAGAGGGUGACCGGCCACAUUGGGACUGAGAUACGGCGCAGACGCCUACGGGAGGCAGCAGUGGGGAAUAUUGCACAAUGGGCGGAAGCCUGAUGCAGCAACGCCGCGUGCGGGAUGACGGCCUUCGGGUUGUAAACCGAUUUCGCCUGUGACGAAGAGUGAGUGACGGUAAUGGGUAAAGAAGCACCGGCUAACUACGUG
rnacentral:rRNA from 1 species